GGGUUGUGAGGUUAAGCGACUAAGCGUACACGGUGGAUGCCCUGGCAGUCAGAGGCGAUGAAGGGCGUGCUAAUCUGCGAUAAGCGCCGGUAAGGUGAUAUGAACCGUUAUAACCGGCGAUACCCGAAUGGGGAAACCCAGUGUGACUCGUCACACUAUCAUUAACUGAAUCCAUAGGUUAAUGAGGCGAACCGGGGGAACUGAAACAUCUAAGUACCCCGAGGAAAAGAAAUCAACCGAGAUUCCCCCAGUAGCGGCGAGCGAACGGGGAGGAGCCCAGAGCCUGAAUCAGCAUGUGUGUUAGUGGAAGCGUCUGGAAAGGCGCGCGAUACAGGGUGACAGCCCCGUACACAAAAGCGCAUGUGCUGUGAGCUCGAUGAGUAGGGCGGGACACGUGGUAUCCUGUCUGAAUAUGGGGGGACCAUCCUCCAAGGCUAAAUACUCCUGACUGACCGAUAGUGAACCAGUACCGUGAGGGAAAGGCGAAAAGAACCCCGGCGAGGGGAGUGAAAAAGAACCUGAAACCGUGUACGUACAAGCAGUGGGAGCACAGGUUUACCUGUGUGACUGCGUACCUUUUGUAUAAUGGGUCAGCGACUUAUAUUCUGUAGCAAGGUUAACCGUAUAGGGGAGCCGUAGGGAAACCGAGUCUUAACCGGGCGUUAAGUUGCAGGGUAUAGACCCGAAACCCGGUGAUCUAGCCAUGGGCAGGUUGAAGGUUGGGUAACACUAACUGGAGGACCGAACCGACUAAUGUUGAAAAAUUAGCGGAUGACCUGUGGCUGGGGGUGAAAGGCCAAUCAAACCGGGAGAUAGCUGGUUCUCCCCGAAAGCUAUUUAGGUAGCGCCUCGUGAAUUCAUCUCCGGGGGUAGAGCACUGUUUCGGCUAGGGGGCCAUCCCGGCUUACCAACCCGAUGCAAACUGCGAAUACCGGAGAAUGUUAUCACGGGAGACACACGGCGGGUGCUAACGUCCGUCGUGAAGAGGGAAACAACCCAGACCGCCAGCUAAGGUCCCAAAGUCAUGGUUAAGUGGGAAACGAUGUGGGAAGGCCCAGACAGCCAGGAUGUUGGCUUAGAAGCAGCCAUCAUUUAAAGAAAGCGUAAUAGCUCACUGGUCGAGUCGGCCUGCGCGGAAGAUGUAACGGGGCUAAACCAUGCACCGAAGCUGCGGCAGCGAACGUAUCACCCAAGACAACUUUGCGGAGUUGACGAUUGACGGAGCGAAGCGACGUCAAAGCGUUCAUUAAAGUCGAGUUGGCUUAGGGAUACGUUCGUUGGGUAGGGGAGCGUUCUGUAAGCCUGUGAAGGUGGCCUGUGAGGGUUGCUGGAGGUAUCAGAAGUGCGAAUGCUGACAUAAGUAACGAUAAAGCGGGUGAAAAGCCCGCUCGCCGGAAGACCAAGGGUUCCUGUCCAACGUUAAUCGGGGCAGGGUGAGUCGACCCCUAAGGCGAGGCCGAAAGGCGUAGUCGAUGGGAAACGGGUUAAUAUUCCCGUACUUGGUGUUACUGCGAAGGGGGGACGGAGAAGGCUAUGUUGGCCGGGCGACGGUUGUCCCGGUUUAAGCGUGUAGGUGUGUGUUCCAGGUAAAUCCGGUUCACUUUAACACUGAGGCGUGACGACGAGGCACUACGGUGCUGAAGCAACAAAUGCCCUGCUUCCAGGAAAAGCCUCUAAGCAUCAGGUAACAUCAAAUCGUACCCCAAACCGACACAGGUGGUCAGGUAGAGAAUACCAAGGCGCUUGAGAGAACUCGGGUGAAGGAACUAGGCAAAAUGGUGCCGUAACUUCGGGAGAAGGCACGCUGAUAUGUAGGUGAAGCGGUUUACCCGUGGAGCUGAAAUCAGUCGAAGAUACCAGCUGGCUGCAACUGUUUAUUAAAAACACAGCACUGUGCAAACACGAAAGUGGACGUAUACGGUGUGACGCCUGCCCGGUGCCGGAAGGUUAAUUGAUGGGGUCAGCGCAAGCGAAGCUCCUGAUCGAAGCCCCGGUAAACGGCGGCCGUAACUAUAACGGUCCUAAGGUAGCGAAAUUCCUUGUCGGGUAAGUUCCGACCUGCACGAAUGGCGUAAUGAUGGCCAGGCUGUCUCCACCCGAGACUCAGUGAAAUUGAACUCGCUGUGAAGAUGCAGUGUACCCGCGGCAAGACGGAAAGACCCCGUGAACCUUUACUAUAGCUUGACACUGAACAUUGAGCCUUGAUGUGUAGGAUAGGUGGGAGGCUUUGAAGCGUGGACGCCAGUCUGCGUGGAGCCGACCUUGAAAUACCACCCUUUAAUGUUUGAUGUUCUAACGUGGACCCGUAAUCCGGGUUGCGGACAGUGUCUGGUGGGUAGUUUGACUGGGGCGGUCUCCUCCUAAAGAGUAACGGAGGAGCACGAAGGUUGGCUAAUCCUGGUCGGACAUCAGGAGGUUAGUGCAAUGGCAUAAGCCAGCUUGACUGCGAGCGUGACGGCGCGAGCAGGUGCGAAAGCAGGUCAUAGUGAUCCGGUGGUUCUGAAUGGAAGGGCCAUCGCUCAACGGAUAAAAGGUACUCCGGGGAUAACAGGCUGAUACCGCCCAAGAGUUCAUAUCGACGGCGGUGUUUGGCACCUCGAUGUCGGCUCAUCACAUCCUGGGGCUGAAGUAGGUCCCAAGGGUAUGGCUGUUCGCCAUUUAAAGUGGUACGCGAGCUGGGUUUAGAACGUCGUGAGACAGUUCGGUCCCUAUCUGCCGUGGGCGCUGGAGAACUGAGGGGGGCUGCUCCUAGUACGAGAGGACCGGAGUGGACGCAUCACUGGUGUUCGGGUUGUCAUGCCAAUGGCACUGCCCGGUAGCUAAAUGCGGAAGAGAUAAGUGCUGAAAGCAUCUAAGCACGAAACUUGCCCCGAGAUGAGUUCUCCCUGAGACUUUAGGUCUCCUGAAGGAACGUUGAAGACGACGACGUUGAUAGGCCGGGUGUGUAAGCGCAGCGAUGCGUUGAGCUAACCGGUACUAAUGAACCGUGAGGCUUAACCUUACAACGCCGAAG
rnacentral:rRNA from 2 species